CCAUUUUCCUCCAAGCCCCAAUUCCCCCCUUAUUUCCCUUCAGGCCUCAGACCUCACACACAGCCCAAAAGCCCAAGCCCACUCCCACUUUCCUCAUUGCCCCCCAGUACCUCCCAACCCUCCCUACAGCCCAGGUUACCCCGCAGCCCCUUCUCACCCUGCUCGUCGCCAUGAUUUCUCCCAACCCUACCACCGCCAGGGGGCGCUCUGCGCACCCAGCCCUCCCGACUCUAUGGCUGGCGGGGCGGGCCGGAAGGGGCGUGGCGAAAGCAGAAGGAGGAACACCGGAAGGGGCGUGGCAAAGACAGGAAGAAGGAAGGCGGAAGGGGCGUGGCGAAGGCAGGAAGAUGAAAACCGGAAGGGGGCGUGGCAAAGACAGAAGGGGGAAAGCCGGAAGGGGCGUGGCGUGGUGGCGCUGGAGGUGGCGAGCCCCUUCGGUGUGCUCUUCGCCUGGGAACAUGUCGGAGGGAGUGGACCUGAUUGAUAUCUACGCUGACGAAGAGUUCAACCAGGUGUGGAGCUUGGGAGGGGGGAGGCAAACAGAGGGGGUCUGGUCAAAAAAAAAAAAAAAAAAAAAA